AGCAACCAACAGUGAGAAGCAAUGUGGAUUUGAGUUAUUUCCCCCCCUGCACUCGCAGGUCCAGGUGGUGUUAGUGAUAAAAGUCUGGCUGCUGGAGUUUGGGGUCAGGCAGCUGAACAGCAGCCCCGUGCACCUGGGUGCUUCAAGCUGACCUUUUAAUCUUCCCUUUUCAUUCCAGGAGCUACGUGGGACAACCAAUGUUUCCCUUGGGUCCUGCCUGCUGCUGGGGCACCCUCAUGAUACAGACCUGGAUUGUGUCUCCCUUCCUUUCACCUCAGAGAAGUGCUGUCUUGUGGGACCUUCUUCCUCUGGGCUCUGGUGG
rnacentral:lncRNA from 1 species